UGGGCGCAAGCCUGAUGCAGCGACGCCGCGUGAGGGAUGACGGCCUUCGGGUUGUAAACCUCUUUCAGUACCGACGAAGCGCAAGUGACGGUAGGUACAGAAGAAGCACCGGCCAACUACGUGCCAGCAGCCGCGGUAAUACGUAGGGUGCGAGCGUUGUCCGGAAUUACUGGGCGUAAAGAGCUCGUAGGCGGUUUGUCGCGUCGUCUGUGAAAACCCGCAGCUCAACUGCGGGCUUGCAGGCGAUACGGGCAGACUUGAGUACUGCAGGGGAGACUGGAAUUCCUGGUGUAGCGGUGAAAUGCGCAGAUAUCAGGAGGAACACCGGUGGCGAAGGCGGGUCUCUGGGCAGUAACUGACGCUGAGGAGCGAAAGCGUGGGUAGCGAACAGGAUUAGAUACCCUGGUAGUCCACGCCGUAAACGGUGGGCGCUAGGUGUGGGUUUCCUUCCACGGGAUCCGUGCCGUAGCUAACGCAUUAAGCGCCCCGCCUGGGGAGUACGGCCGCAAGGCUAAAACUCAAAGGAAUUGACGGG
rnacentral:rRNA from 1 species